UAGGGAAUCUUCCGCAAUGGACGCAAGUCUGACGGAGCAACGCCGCGUGAGUGAAGAAGGAUUUCGGUUCGUAAAACUCUGUUGUUAGAGAAGAACAGCGCAUAGAGUAACUGUUAUGCGUGUGACGGUAUCUAACCAGAAAGCCACGGCUAACUACGUGCCAGCAGCUGCGGUAAUACGUAGGUGGCAAGCGUUGUCCGGGUUUAUUGGGCGUAAAGCGAGCGCAGGCGGUCAAUUAAGUCAGAUGUGAAAGCCCCCGGCUCCACCGGGGAGGGUUCUUGGGAACUGGUUGACUUGAGUGCAGAGGAGGAGAGUGGAAUUCCAUGUGUAGCGGUGAAAUGCGUAAAUAUAUGGAGGAACACCAGUGGCGAAGGCGACUCUCUGGUCUGUAACAGACGCUGAGGUUCGAAAGCGUGGGUAGCAAACAGG
rnacentral:rRNA from 1 species